rnacentral:snoRNA from 1 species
GCUUUAAAGCCGACCCGGAUGUUCCUUGUUCCUCAUUGUUUGACUGGUUUGCGUGUGGAAUGUUUGUGUGAGCGUUUGAGUGAGUGUUUGAGUGAGCGAAUGGUGCUGUUUGAGUGUGUGUCUGUCUUUUUCUUUUAAAACCUACACACUGAUCUUAUUUGAUCUGGUCAGAGUUCGGCUCUGCUCUGAUCAGAGAUGAUAGGAAAAACGCUCCCAAGCCUCCGUGGCGAUGAGCGGAAGCGACUUUAAGCUCCAGGGCCUCCACGCUUCGUGUUGUGGUCAGAGGUGAUGAAUUGAUCAGAUAUACUAGCUCUGGGUGAGUUUGGGCUCGGCUCAGGCUUCGCUAUAGGCGAUGAGUACAGAGGCGAUUCUGAUCUAA